UUAUUAUUUACAUUAAUAAUUUAUUUGUGCAAUUCAGAUGAGUUUGAUUAAAUAUUUUAUUAUUAUUAUUUUUUAUUAUUAUUAUUUUUAUAAAAAUAAUUUUAUUUUUAGUAUAUUUUAUUGAAAUUUUAUUUUUAAUUAUAGAUUAUAAGUAUCGUGAGAGAAUUACUUUAUUUUUUUAUAAGAAUUUUUUAAUUUAAGUACCUUUUGCAUCAGGGUUUAUUAAAUAUUUAUUAAUUAUUUUAUUUUUCUCGAAAUUAUAAGAUUCAUAUUUAUAUGAUUGUUGAUGUUUUAAAUUCAUAUUUAAUAUAAAUAUAGUGGUUAUAUGCUAUUCAUUUAUUAAUAUAUCUAGUUAUUUAAUAAUCUUAUUUAAUAAGGAAAUAUAAAUUUUAUUAUUAAUAUUUUAUUUUUAUUAUUUUAUAUUUUUAAUCAAUAAAGGAUAAGCUUUUUUGAUUUUAUAUAACUUUAAAUUUUAUUUUAAGUUUUGUAGGAUUAGAAACUUUCAUCAUUAAUUUCGUUAUAGUUUAACUUAAUCUUUUUUUUAUUUAUUUAUGUUUAUUUUGUUAUUAAAUUAAAUUAAUUAAUUUAUUUUUAUUUGUAAUAAUGAUAAAAUUAGUAUUUUUUAAAAUAAAUUAUAGUAACUCGGCAAUUUUAAUUUUCACCUGUUUAUCAAAAACAUGUCUUUUUGUUUUUAUAUAAAGUCUAGUCUGCUCUAUGAUUAUUAUUAAAUGGCCGCAGUAUUUUAACUGUGCAAAGGUAGCAUGAUCAUUUGCCUCCUAAUUAGAGGCUUGUAUGAAUGGCUGGAUGAGAAAUUAACUUUCUUUAUUUUAUUUUAAAAAACUUUAUUUUUUAGUUAAAAAGCUAAAAUUUUUUUAUUAGACGAUAAGACC
rnacentral:rRNA from 1 species